GUUCUUAAAGACAAUAUUAGAAGUUUAACUGAUAUAUGUGUAAUCACUUUAGAUAUUUUUAGGUUUUUUGGGGAAGGUUUUUACUCAUUUUUUUUGGAAAAUAUUGCCAAUUUUGGGUGAUUUUUUAAAAAUGAAACUUUUAGGGAAACUUUUAAGGAAUUAUUGGAAUUUUCUUCCUGAACGUUUUGCAAAUUUUCAGACAUUUUGGGGAAUUUUUUGGCUGAUUUUUUGGUGCCCGUAAAUGAGGACAACACGAGGAUUAAAUGGGAUCUAACAUGUUGAAUAAUGUUCUUUAGAGGUGCUUGAAGGUGGAUUUUGUUCCGUUUGCACAGAGCAAAGGUCCAGUCAUUUUUCUAAACAACUGUUUUUUUUUUGUCAGAUAUCAACAAUAAUAUUUAAAUUUCCGCAUAACAACCUGACAAAGCUAAUGUUCAUGCAUUUGCAAAAUCAGCUCAGAAAAGAGCACAAAGUCAACUUUUUGCCAACUUUUAGACUAAAUCUGACAAGCAGGAGCUUCGAUCAGCAAAAAGACUUCAAACAGGUCAAACAAUUUCAUCUUAAUUAAUGUCUUUAUAUCCUAAAACCUGCUGGGAAAAGACUGCCAAGCCGACUUCUUUCCAACAGUCUGACAAAAUUAAAGAAAACAGGAACUUCAGUCAUAAUAAAGACUGAAAACAGGCACAACAGUUUAAUCUGUCUCAAAUGCAGGUGUUUGAGCCAUUUCUACUCUAGUAUCUCCAAAAGGCAUCUACUAGCACCUAUAAAUGAGAUUUAACAUGUUGACUAAUGGGCUUUAAAGGUACUUGAAGGUGGAUUUUGUUCCUUUACACAUUUAUUCUCUAAACUAAGCAGAAGACAGUUUCCUUUAGAUGUGAUUAGAAGCAUUAAAACGCGCCCAGAAGAACCUGACGAAGCUAAUGUCCAUAUCUUCCCUAAACCUGCUGGGAUAAAACGGCACAAAGCCCCCGUCUUGUGAUCUUCCGGUUUACGAGCCACUUGCGUUGAGUUUCAUCAUGUUCCUGACGAUCAGCGCCUUAAAGAAGGGAAGGAAAAGCUCUGAAAACGCUGCUCUGAAGGAUUAUCAGAGGUGUCAGUGUUUUCCUCUCAGAGUGAGAUUAAUUACCGCUAACUCUCCAGAUUUAAGGUCAGGAGCUGCGUUUUCAGAAGUAUUGAUUGUGUAUCGGUGUUCUCCAGAGUUAGAAUCCUCCAGAGGAACUCUGGUGGAGAUGAACCUGCCUGAACUGGCCGAUCAGCAGGGUUUGGCUCAGACGCUCAGUUACUCAACAGAGUCCAAACCUCACACGAUGUUGUUGCACAAGAACCUCCACACACACAAACACACCAUAAUAAGCCAACUUUAGUGAUGCGUAAACACAUGUAGACAUGUUAGCGACACCUCAAACACAAACCGACCAAGCGGAGACGUGGACAGCAUGUUUCUGUAACUUUAAGGUGCCUAACGAUGGUAGAAGUGAUGAUGUUGGUGUAAGAAUGACUAUAUAUAAAUAUAUAUAUAUGUAAUAAACUGAUUAAUCCUCA
ensembl:lncRNA